rnacentral:rRNA from 1 species
AUUGAACGCUGGCGGCAGGCCUAACACAUGCAAGUCGAACGAGUGGCGGACGGGUGAGUAAUGUCUGGGAAACUGCCUGAUGGAGGGGGAUAACUACUGGAAACGGUAGCUAAUACCGCAUACCAUCGGAUGUGCCCAGAUGGGGUUAGCUAGUAGGUGGGGUAACGGCUCACCUAGGCGACGAUCCCUACCUGGUCUGAGAGGAUGACCAGCCACACUGGAACUGAGACAGGGGCAAGAAUCCUACGUGAGGCAGCAGUGGGGAAUAUGGCACCAUGGGCGCAAGCCUGCUGCAGCCAUGCCGCGUGUAUGAAGAAGGCCUUCGGGAUGUAAAGCACUUUCAGCGGGGAGGCGUUACCCGCAGAAGAAGCACCGGCUAACUCCGUGCCAGCCGCCGCGGUAAUAC